rnacentral:rRNA from 1 species
GACGUAGGUGGCGAACGUUAUCCGGAAUUAUUGGGCGUAAAGUGUGCGCAGGUGGCUGAGCAAGUCGAGUGUGAAAGCCCCGGGCUUAACUUGGGAAUUGCGCUCGAAACUACUUGGCUCGAGUGUGGCAGAGGAAGGUGGAAUUCCACGUGUAGCGGUGAAAUGCGUAGAGAUGUGGAGGAACACCGAUGGCGAAGGCAGCCUUCUGGGCCAACACUGACGCUCAUGCACGAAAGCGUGGGGAGCAAACAGG